rnacentral:misc_RNA from 1 species
GACAAAGGAAGGGAAGGAAACGGAUGCGCUUCAAUUCUUGUCCUCCGCCUCGUCAGAGUCAGGCGGCGGGGUGCAGUCCGUGUCCAUGGCCAUGACCCCGCGCCGCCGUCGGCACGUGAACACCUUGAGCACGCCGUCGGAUCCGCCGGCGACGAGAGCCCCGCCGUCGGGGUCGUCGCUGUGGCUGCCCUGCCGCCACGCCACCGCGCUGACGAACCCACCAGCACCAGCACCAGCAGCAGGAGCGUGAGCGUCCACUUGCUCGGGUCCGAUGGUGACUGGGCCGUGAGACGCGAAGGGCUGCACCCAGAUGGGCUUGGCCCACCUGAGGUCGUAGACGAAGACGUGGUUGGACUCGGAGCCGCUGGCCACCAGCCCGGCCCCUCGCCACACGCCCAUCCCCACGAAGCUCCGCGCGCUCGCGUGGCCGCUGUACGACCGCACCUCCCGCGCCGCGGCCCCCUGCUCCGACGUGCCCGGCGGCCACUCCCACAGCCGGUGGGUCCCGUCGGCCGCCGACGUGACCACCCUCCUCCUCUCCGCCGGCCCCGGCCCCGCCCACCGCACGUACGUCACGGCGCGGGCGUGUCCCUCCAUGCGCGCCACGUGCACCGCGCCGCGGCCCAGCGCGCGCACGUCGUACACGUGGGCGCGGCGGUCCGCGGAGCCCACGGCCAGGUGGGGCGCCCCCGAGGGGUCGAACUCCACGCACAGCACGGCGGCGCCGGCGCGCGCCGUGGCCCAGCCGCACGAGGGCGCGCGCGGGUCCCACACGUGCGCCGUGCGGUCGUCGGACCCGGACGCCGCCAUGGCCGCCGGCGCCCCCGGCGGGGCGUAGUCCAGCGACCAGACGCGGCGGCCGCCGUGCUCGUCGCGCUCCCACGACGCCACGCCGCGCUCCGCGUCGUACUCCGUGACCACGCCGUCGUAGUCGCCGCACCCCACCGCGGCUCCCCCGUCCGGGCGCCACCGCACGCUACUCAGCUUGGCCGGCACGCAGAUGCACGCGGCGGGGGCGGGGGCGGGGGCGGGGCCGGCGCUAUCCGGCGGCGGCAGCAGCAUGGAGGGCACGUCGUACAUCCGGAUCUUGCGGGCGAUGCCGCCGGUGGCGAGGAGGCGGCCCGUGGGGUCCAGGUCGACGCUGCCGAUGGCGUCGGACGCCCCUGGCAGGGCCGUGGUCGGCACGGUGGCCGCCAGGCGAAAGUCCCAUUCGCAGCGCGGCGGCAGGUCGGCGUCGUCGUGGGCUUGGCUGUUGCUGGAAGAAGAGGCCGUGGCGUUCAUGGACUAGCUAGCAGCUACGUACAUGGAGCUGGAGCUGGACUCUACGUACUGGUGCAUAUAUCUACUCGGCUAGCUCAUCUGCUAGCUGCUGCUUUCCUCUUUGGUCAUGGCUAGCUGCACGAGAAAGGUUUUGGUUUGGCGCCUCCUGUUUGUUUUGGGAGCUAAUCCGUUUGCUUUAAUUAGUGCAGUACUAGGCUUGCUGCCCUAAGAUGAUGUAGGCGGCGGCAUGUCAUAUUUAUGGUGAUAUGUAUGAAAGAAAUAAAGAAAAAAAUCG